GCCACGGUGGUGCAGUGGUCAGCAUACUCGACCAACUGUUGAGGGACCCGGGUUCGACUCCCGGCUGUGGCU